rnacentral:tRNA from 1 species
ACUGUUUUAGUAUACUAAUUACAUAAGCUUUUCGUGCUUAAGAGAGUGUUUUAACACUAAACAGCG